rnacentral:lncRNA from 1 species
GCCACUCACCCGCGCCUUCGGCGGGCUGCGGCGGCCCGACGACGCCGUUCAGGUAGAGAAUGGGCAGCAGGUACAGCCUGGAGACAAAUGGUGGGGAGGGUUUCCCCUAAAUUUGGACAUCUCCAGAUUAAGACCUCCGCCGAAUCCGUGAGGCUUUCCCUCUCCAAGGAGCUCCUAAGAGAAUUUCCCAGUAAAAUCGCCUCAACUGCGGUAAAUAGGCUGUUCCCCGCGCCAGCAUUUGAGAAGAGCUGGUCCCCAGAGUGUAAAGGAGUUAGGAUGUUGGCAGGAGGAAGGAUGUGUCGCCGGAUGAGGAAAAGAAAGGCGACAGCCGUUUGUGGACACAUACUGCUUACCUCCCUGACUGCAGGACAAGGUCCUUCAAAGCUGGAACUCUGACUGCGCUCAGUGAUCCCGCAGUGCUCCUCUGUAGAGUGGGAACCCAGGUCCAUUUCAAAUAUCUACGUUGGAAUGAGUGGAUCUCGCUGGGGGGUCUGCUUCUUCAAGGGGAGAAGUCGUUUUUAUUUAUGGAAACGAACUCACUAUAUGGUAGAAAGAACAAGAGUAUCAGAAUUUGCACUUUGGACUUGGACUCCCCUCUAAGCAGCUGCACAAGGAUAGGGAAAUUUGGAUGCAGAGACACAGAGAAAAUGCCAUGUGAAGAUGGAUCAGAGACAGAAGUGAUGCGGCUGCAAGCCAAGGAAUGUGAAGAAUGGCCAGCCACCACCGGAAGCUAGGGGAGACGCCAGCACAGAUUCUCCCUGAGAGUAUCCAGAAGAAACCAACCCUCCAACACCUGGAUUUCAGACUUCUGACCUUGAGAAGUGUGAGCCAAUAAAACAACUGCAGUGGA